rnacentral:rRNA from 1 species
AGUGAACGCUGGCGGUAGGCCUAACACAUGCAAGUCGAACGGCAGCACAGUAAGAGCUUGCUCUUACGGGUGGCGAGUGGCGGACGGGUGAGGAAUACAUCGGAAUCUACUUUUUCGUGGGGGAUAACGUAGGGAAACUUACGCUAAUACCGCAUACGACCUACGGGUGAAAGCAGGGGAUCUUCGGACCUUGCGCGAUUGAAUGAGCCGAUGUCGGAUUAGCUAGUUGGCGGGGUAAAGGCCCACCAAGGCGACGAUCCGUAGCUGGUCUGAGAGGAUGAUCAGCCACACUGGAACUGAGACACGGUCCAGACUCCUACGGGAGGCAGCAGUGGGGAAUAUUGGACAAUGGGCGCAAGCCUGAUCCAGCCAUACCGGGUGGGUGAAGAAGGCCUUCGGGUUGUAAAGCCCUUUUGUUGGGAAAGGAAAGCAGCAGGUUAAUACCCCGCUGUUCUGACGGUACCCAAAGAAUAAGCACCGGCUAACUUCGU